GAUGAACGCUGGCGGCGUGCCUAAUACAUGCAAGUCGAGCGAACGGACGAGAAGCUUGCUUCUCUGAUGUUAGCGGCGGACGGGUGAGUAACACGUGGAUAACCUACCUAUAAGACUGGGAUAACUUCGGGAAACCGGAGCUAAUACCGGAUAAUAUUUUGAACCGCAUGGUUCAAAAGUGAAAGACGGUCUUGCUGUCACUUAUAGAUGGAUCCGCGCUGCAUUAGCUAGUUGGUAAGGUAACGGCUUACCAAGGCAACGAUGCAUAGCCGACCUGAGAGGGUGAUCGGCCACACUGGAACUGAGACACGGUCCAGACUCCUACGGGAGGCAGCAGUAGGGAAUCUUCCGCAAUGGGCGAAAGCCUGACGGAGCAACGCCGCGUGAGUGAUGAAGGUCUUCGGAUCGUAAAACUCUGUUAUUAGGGAAGAACAUAUGUGUAAGUAACUGUGCACAUCUUGACGGUACCUAAUCAGAAAGCCACGGCUAACUACGUGCCAGCAGCCGCGGUAAUACGUAGGUGGCAAGCGUUAUCCGGAAUUAUUGGGCGUAAAGCGCGCGUAGGCGGUUUUUUAAGUCUGAUGUGAAAGCCCACGGCUCAACCGUGGAGGGUCAUUGGAAACUGGAAAACUUGAGUGCAGAAGAGGAAAGUGGAAUUCCAUGUGUAGCGGUGAAAUGCGCAGAGAUAUGGAGGAACACCAGUGGCGAAGGCGACUUUCUGGUCUGUAACUGACGCUGAUGUGCGAAAGCGUGGGGAUCAAACAGGAUUAGAUACCCUGGUAGUCCACGCCGUAAACGAUGAGUGCUAAGUGUUAGGGGGUUUCCGCCCCUUAGUGCUGCAGCUAACGCAUUAAGCACUCCGCCUGGGGAGUACGACCGCAAGGUUGAAACUCAAAGGAAUUGACGGGGACCCGCACAAGCGGUGGAGCAUGUGGUUUAAUUCGAAGCAACGCGAAGAACCUUACCAAAUCUUGACAUCCUUUGACAACUCUAGAGAUAGAGCCUUCCCCUUCGGGGGACAAAGUGACAGGUGGUGCAUGGUUGUCGUCAGCUCGUGUCGUGAGAUGUUGGGUUAAGUCCCGCAACGAGCGCAACCCUUAAGCUUAGUUGCCAUCAUUAAGUUGGGCACUCUAAGUUGACUGCCGGUGACAAGCCGGAGGAAGGUGGGGAUGACGUCAAAUCAUCAUGCCCCUUAUGAUUUGGGCUACACACGUGCUACAAUGGACAAUACAAAGGGCAGCGAAACCGCGAGGUCAAGCAAAUCCCAUAAAGUUGUUCUCAGUUCGGAUUGUAGUCUGCAACUCGACUACAUGAAGCUGGAAUCGCUAGUAAUCGUAGAUCAGCAUGCUACGGUGAAUACGUUCCCGGGUCU
rnacentral:rRNA from 1 species